rnacentral:tRNA from 1 species
CGGGYCUCGAUCCCGUAAUAAUUUAGUUAACAGCUAAACACCCAAUCCAGCGGGCUUCAACUUAUACUUCUCCCG